GUUGCACGACUGUCGUCAGCUCGUGUCGUGAGAUGUUUGGUUAAGUCCUUAAACGGGUGCAACUCUUAUCUUUUAAUUUAUUUACAAACAAAAAUUUAUUGAUAAAUUUUUAAGCUUUAAAGAUACGGUCAACGAUAAGUUGAAGGAAGGUAAGAAUGAGGUCAAGUCAAUGUGACCCUUAUGAAUUGGGCUACACAUGUGCUACAAUGAAAAUUACAAAAAGUGACAAAAAAGAAAUUUUGAGUUAAUCUACAAAAAUUUUCCCAGUUCGGAUU
rnacentral:rRNA from 1 species